rnacentral:rRNA from 1 species
AUACGGAGGAUGCGAGCGUUAUCCGGAUUUAUUGGGUUUAAAGGGCGCGCAGGCGGCGAGGCAAGUCCGGUGUGAAAGUGCUCGGCUCAACCGAGUGAUGCGCUGGAAACUGCCCUGCUUGAGUACAGGAGGGGACGUCGGAAUUCCAGGUGUAGGGGUGAAAUCUGUAGAUAUCUGGAAGAACACCGGUGGCGAAGGCGGACGUCUGGCCAUUUACUGACGCUGAGGCGCGAAGGUGCGGGGAGCGAACAGGUUUAGAUACCCUGGUAGUCCGCACAGUAAACGAUGUGCACCAGGUGGCGGGGGGUAGCCCUCGGUACCGAAGCCAACGCAUUAAGUGCACCGCCUGGGGAGUAUGCUCGCAAGGGUGAAACUCAAAUGAAUUGACGGGG